rnacentral:rRNA from 1 species
UACGUAGGGAGCAAGCGUUGUUCGGAUUUACUGGGCGUAAAGGGCGCGUAGGCGGCAAUUCAAGUCAUCUGUGAAAUCUCCGGGCUUAACUCGGAACGGUCAGAUGAUACUGUUUUGCUAGAGUGCAGAAGGGGCAAUCGGAAUUCUUGGUGUAGCGGUGAAAUGCGUAGAUAUCAAGAGGAACACCUGAGGUGAAGACGGGUUGCUGGGCUGACACUGACGCUGAGGCGCGAAAGCGUGGGGAGCAAACGGG